GGGAUUCCUUGGGCUCUGCUGCGGCCCCGGGACCCCGCCAGCCGCGUCCGCAGUGACAGCUUGGUUUCCUCCGGAGCCGCGGGACAGAAAGCAGGUCAUCCCAAUGCCUAAGGCCCAGUGGCUACAGGGGAUCCUCUAAUGACUCCUGGACCCAUGUAAGGUCUGGCUGUGCAGAUCCCGGGCUGUGGCAGGAGUUCGCAUCAUGUCCCCGAGGCCACGUCUGUCACCCUGCAGCCCCCGCUGCUGCGUCUCAAGGCCCGCUGUCUCAGCCGCGUUCAUGCCAGGAGGGAUGAUGUGGGUCCUGUCUGCGCAGGGGACCUGGGAAACAUCGCAGACUCACCACUAACAGAAACAAAAAUUCCCUAUCUCAUUUACUCUUCACUCAGACCCCUUGUAAGGACCUCUCCAUCCCCAUUUUGUAUGUGAGGACAUUGAGAUUUAGAGAGAUUACGUAGCUUGAAAGUGAUUACAACCAUUAAAAGAUGUCUCAGGGCGCAAUCAUGGUGCCUCC